rnacentral:rRNA from 1 species
AGAUUAAGCCAUGCAUGUCUAAGUACAAGCCUCACUAAGGUGAAACCGCGAAUGGCUCAUUAAAUCACACCUAAUCUACUGGAUAGUUAACAGUUACUUGGAUAACUGCGGUAAUUCUGGAGCUAAUACAUGCACAAAGCCCCGAACUUACGUGAGGGGCGCUUUUAUUAGAUCAAAACCAAACGGCUUCGGCUGUUCUCUUGGUGACUCUGAAUAACUUUGGGCUGAUCGCAUAGCCUAGCGCUGGCGACAUAUCCUUCGAAGGUGUGCCCUAUCAACUGUCGACUGUGGCAUAGACGCCCACAGUGGUUUUGACGGGUAACGGGGAAUCAGGGUUCGAUUCCGGAGAGGGAGCCUUAAAAACGGCUACCACAUCUAAGGAAGGCAGCAGGCACGCAAAUUACCCAAUGACCGAAGGUCGAGGUAGUGACGAAAAAUAACGAUACGGGACUCAUCUGAGGCCCCGUAAUCGGAAUGAGUACACUUUAAAACCGUCCCCGAGGAUCUAUUGGAGGGCAAGUCUGGUGCCAGCAGCCGCGGUAAUUCCAGCUCCAAUAGCGUAUAUUAAAGUUGUUGUGGUUAAAAAGCUCGUAGUUGGAUCUCGGCGGUCUGAGGGCGGUUCACUUGCUAGUGCUACUGCCCUAUAGACCGUAGUUUUGCCAGA